rnacentral:rRNA from 1 species
GCGAACGGGUGAGUAAUGCAUCGGAACGUACCGAGUAGUGGGGGAUAACUGUCCGAAAGGAUGGCUAAUACCGCAUACGCUUUGAGAAGGAAAGCAGGGGCUCUUCGGACCUUGCGCUAUUCGAGCGGCCGAUGUCUGAUUAGCUGGUUGGUGGGGUAAAGGCCUACCAAGGCGACGAUCAGUAGUGGGUCUGAGAGGAUGAUCCGCCACACUGGGACUGAGACACGGCCCAGACUCCUACGGGAGGCAGCAGUGGGGAAUUUUGGACAAUGGGCGCAAGCCUGAUCCAGCCAUGCCGCGUGUCUGAAGAAGGCCUUCGGGUUGUAAAGGACUUUUGUCAGGGAAGAAAAGGUUGUGGUUAAUACCCAUGACUGAUGACGGUACCUGAAGAAUAAGCACCGGCUAACUACGUGCCAGCAGCCGCGGUAAUACGUAGGGUGCGAGCGUUAAUCGGAAUUACUGGGCGUAAAGCGGGCGCAGACGGUUACUUAAGUCAGAUGUGAAAUCCCCGGGCUCAACCU